GCCGGGGUGGUGGAAUAGGUAGACACAAGGGACUUAAAAUCCCUCGGGCAGUUAAACGCCCGUGCCGGUUCGAUUCCGGCCCUCGGCA
rnacentral:tRNA from 1 species